GACGAACGCUGGCGGCGUGCUUAACACAUGCAAGUCGAACGGAAAGGCCCCUUUGGGGGUACUCGAGUGGCGAACGGGUGAGUAACACGUGAGUAACCUGCCCUUGACUUCGGGAUAACUUCAGGAAACUGGGGCUAAUACCGGAUAGGAAUCCUUGCUGCAUGGUGGGGGUUGGAAAGCUUCGGCGGUUUUGGAUGGACUCGCGGCUUAUCAGCUUGUUGGUGGGGUAGUGGCUUACCAAGGCUUUGACGGGUAGCCGGCCUGAGAGGGCGACCGGCCACAUUGGGACUGAGAUACGGCCCAGACUCCUACGGGAGGCAGCGGUGGGGAAUAUUGCACAAUGGGCGGAAGCCUGAUGCAGCAACGCCGCGUGCGGGAUGACGGCCUUCGGGUUGGAAACCGCUUUCAGCAGGGGCGAAGCUUGUGGUGACGGUACCUGCAGAAGAAGCACCGGCUAACUACGUG
rnacentral:rRNA from 1 species